CACGUAGGGGGCGAGCGUUGUCCGGAUUUAUUGGGCGUAAAGAGCUCGUAGGCGGCUUGGUAAGUCAGGUGUGAAACCUCCAGGCUCAACCUGGAGACGCCACUUGAUACUGCCAUAGCUAGAGUCCGGUAGGGGAGCGUGGAAUUUCUGGUGUAGCGGUGAAAUGCGCAGAUAUCAGAAGGAACACCAGCGGCGAAGGCGGCGCUCUGGGCCGGAACUGACGCUGAGGAGCGAAAGCCAGGGGAGCAAACGGG
rnacentral:rRNA from 1 species